rnacentral:lncRNA from 1 species
UUCUUGGCUCAGAAUUCUUUGGGGGAAGUACAGAGGGAAGCUGGAACCAGCUGGUUAGUGCCAUGGGUGGGCAAAGGGCCUCUUCAGGUCUUCGGGUGUCUUGCUGAGCUGGCCUGCUGCAAGGGGCAGGAGCCAUCCUCCACCUGUGGCCUCUCAGGACACCUGAGUGAACUCAGCACCUGUGAGCUCCUGGGAAGAGAGAGGGUUCUGCUCUGGGGCUUGCAGCCUAUGGAGAGGCUUUUGUGCAGUAGGCUAGAAAAUGGGCAGAAAGUAUUUUAACAAAUCUGUUUUCUAAAUGAAUAAUGCAGUUGGUGCAAUAACUUUUUAAUCUCAUUGUGUAAUACCUGUCUCUUACUUUAAGCUGCAGAUAUUCGUACUUCUUGUGCUUAACCGUACUGUCAAGAGGGUUAGAUGAAGCCAGGAGAUGGAAAUUUUGAAUCCUUUGUGUCUGUGAAGUUGUACAAGAUGCUUUCAGAUUGCAGGCUGGAAACAAUGUACCUGCAAGUUUCUGUUGAAACAACCAGAUGUCUGAUAUCAUCUGGCUGCCCCCGUUGUCUGUUCUGGUCACCACUUCCCUGGAUGUCUUGGAGACAGAACAGUGCCAGUCACCUGUUGCUGGCUCCACAGCUUCUGCUUACCCUGGUACCUGUGUUUGCAUGGACUUAGGCAUGACUGCUCUCUUGACCCUAUGCUUUUCAUACUGGAAUCCUACAUGCCCCAACUUGUAUCUUCAGCAAUAGCAAGUACUUGCCUGAUGUCUUAGGAUCUGUGACUGCACACACAGGCAUUUGACCUGAGACAUUUCAAGGUAGUUGUACUGCUUUGGAGAACUGGAUUUUGGCACAGUCAGUUUCUCUGCUAAGCUUUCUGUUUGCCUGGAUCCUAGAACUACUGAGAGAGUGUCUCCAGAAAUCUGGAGUGAAGCAUUUGGGGAAAUGAUGCUUUAUUUGGAUAAGAUUUCUUCUCACUUCCAUAACGUUGUGGCCGAGUUGGUCAGUUGAACUACACAGUGACUCCUUGUUCCCACAGUGGACUUCCUAGGUUUUGUAUGAUUUUGCUGUUCUGUUACCAUCUUGUGUCUGAGUGACCUGGCACAUGAGAGCAAAAAAAGCUUGAACGUGUGAUUAUGGGAACUAUAAAAGAAAACCACUUAUGGGAAACAGCAAAGUCCACCAGAACCUCAGCCUGUUUUGGCAUUGGCCUUGUAGUACAGAAUCUGAGAUUUUAGAAUCUUGCUGUUAAACUCUCCUUGUUUGGUCUUUUUAUUGAAUGCGUGAGAAACCCUAAUCUCAUGCUCUCAAGAGCAUGAAACUUGAUUGUAGGAGGGAGGUGUUACUGCAUGGACUUGUUCAUUUUUAGAUUUUAACUUACUAUAACUUUUUUUGCAAUAAAACAAAACAGCUGUAGCUGAAGCUCA